rnacentral:lncRNA from 1 species
GAGUGAGUGUGCCCACCUGCAUAAGGGGGCAGAGACAGCCUGCCGGGGCUUCUCUUCCUUGUUCCCAGGGCCAGAUGUCAGAGGCCAUGGACCAGCCAGCUGGGGGUCCUGGAAACCCAAGGCCAGGAGAGGGUGAUGAUGGCAGCAUGGAGCCAGGCACCUGCCAGGAGCUUCUGCACCGACUGCGGGAGCUGGAGGCAGAGAACUCGGCACUUGCCCAGGCCAACGAAAACCAGCGGGAGACUUAUGAGCGCUGUCUGGACGAGGUCUGUGGGUCUGUAGUGGGACUGGGGG